rnacentral:rRNA from 1 species
UACAGAGGUCUCAAGCGUUGUUCGGAUUCAUUGGGCGUAAAGGGUGCGUAGGCGGCGCGGUAAGUCGGGUGUGAAAUUUCGAGGCUUAACUUCGAAACUGCAUUCGAUACUGCCGUGCUUGAGGACUGGAGAGGAGACUGGAAUUUACGGUGUAGCGGUGAAAUGCGUAGAUAUCUGGAGGAACACCGGUGGCGAAGGCGGCAUCCUGGACCGGUAUUGACGCUGAGACGCGAAAGCGUGGGGAGCAAACAGG